ACCUUUUCGGUGAGACUGCGGACGGCUCAGUAUAUCAGUGAUAAUCUGUUUGAUUGUCUCUCCCAUUGGAUAACCGUGGGAAAUCUAGAGCUAAUACGUGCAGUUUAUUGGCCAGCUCUCGGGUUGGUCAAAGCAUUUAUUAGACUAAACCAUCUACUGUGCUUGCGCAGUAAGGGGAAUCUGGAUAACUUUGCUGAUCGUAUGGCCAUGUGCCGACGACGUUUCAAUUGAGUUUCUGCCCUAUCAACUUGUUGGUAAGGUAUUGGCUUACCAAGGUUGCAACGGGUAACGGGGAAUCAGGGUUCGAUUCCGGAGAGGGAGCCUGAGAAACGGCUACCACAUCCAAGGAAGGCAACAGGCGCGAAAAUUACCCAAUCUAGACAGUAGGAGGUGGUGAAGAGAAUUACUAGGUGGCGACUCAAUGAGUUGCCAGUUUGGAAUGAACGUAACUCAAGAAAUUCGAUGAGAAACAACUGGAGGGCAAGUCCUGGUGCCAGCAGCCGCGGUAAUUCCAGCUCCAGUAGUCUGCGCUAAAGUUGUUGCGUUUAAAACGCUCGUAGUUGGAUCACGCAGCUGUGCUCAGUAAUCUGAGUCGGCUGGCCACUCGACGCCGUUUCGACGAAAUCUUGUGCCACCGGUCAGAUGCAACGCUGAGCACUGCUAGUUGCACGUGAGAUGAAUUGUUGGCCUUGAAUGCGCCGGUAUUCUCGUCUUGCGGAGUGUGCCUUGAAUAAAACAGAGUGCUUAAAGCAGGUCAUUGCCUGAAUGUUAUAGCAUGGAACGAACAAUCGUGUAUUAGCGUGAGUCGCAGUUUGGCAGCGAGCCUCGGGUUUGUUGUCAGACUAGUCGCACGCGGCACCCACCAAAUAUGGCUGUUGGUUCCCAUAUACGGUGAUGAUUAACAGGAGCGGUUGGGGGCAUCAGUAUUUGAUCGCGAGAGGUGAAAUUCUUAGACCGAUCAAGGACUAACAAAUGCAAAGGCACUUGUCUAGACCGUUUCCAUUAAUCAAGAACGAAAGUGGGAGGUUCGAAGAUGAUCAGAUACCAUCGUAGUUCCCACUGUAAACUAUGCCGACCUGGGAUUAGUUUACAGAUGUUACAAGCUGUAAAUUAGUCCCCCUGGGAAACCUCAAGUUUUUCGGUUACGGGGAGAGUAUGGUCGCAAGGCUGAAACUUAAAGGAAUUGACGGAAGGGCACCACCAGGGGUGGAGCCUGCGGCUUAAUUUGACUCAACACGGGGAAACUUACCUGGUCCGGACAUCGAUAGGAUUAACAGAUCGAUAGCUCUUUUAUGAUGCGAUGAGUGGUGGUGCAUGGCCGUUCUUAGUUCGUGGAGUGAUCUGUCGGCCUAAUCGCGAUAACAGAACGAGACCACAAUCUCCAUUUAAGAGAUAGGAGAAGGCGUGCGUCGGCGUGGAGUCGCAAGAUUUUACGUUGGCGUCGCUGCAGGCUGGACUUUUGGCUGUAUUCGCCGCAGUAUGCAGGCAACUGUGUGCUGUGGUGUGGUACGGUUGGAUUUCUUCCCUUCUAUUUAGCGGCAGCUGGUGCAAACUGGCUGUUGCCUUAUGGAGAGACUGCGAGGUAUAAACAAGCUCGAGGAAGAGUGGCUAUAACAGGUCAGUGAUGCCCUUCGAUGUUCAGGGCUGCACGCGCGCUACAAUGAUAACGACAACGAGUGUCUGCGUUGAAAGACGUGGGUAAUCUUUAAUCGUUAUCGUGAUGGGGAUUGACCGUUGUAACUGUCGGUCAUGAAAGAGGAAUCCCUAGUAUGCGUAUUUUAUUAGAAUGCGCAGAUUAAGUCCCUGCCCUUUGUACACACCGCCCGUCGCUACUACCGAGUGAAUGGUGUCAUGAUGCGCUGGGACUGGACGUUGUUCGGCCCUCGGGCUGGUCGACGCCGGAAUCAGCG
rnacentral:rRNA from 1 species